UGCUUUUUGAAAAUAUAAAAAGUAUUACCUGCCCACUGAUUUCUUUAAAUGGCCGCAGUAUAUUGACUGUGCAAAGGUAGCAUAAUCAUUUGCUUUAUAAAUUAAAGCUUGUAUGAAUGGUAUAAUGUAAAUAUAACUGUCUUUUAUAUAAAAAUAAAACUUAUCUUUUCAGUGAAGAGACUAAAUAUAUUUAGAAAGACGAGAAGACCCUAAUGAGUUUUAUAUUAAUUUUAUUAAAAUAAAAUAAUUAUUUUAUUGGGGCGAUUAAAGAAUAUAUCUUCUUUUAAAACUUUAAAAGAACUAUUAAUGAUUCAUUAUUAAUGAAAAAAGGUUUAAAUUACCAUAGGGGUAACAGCAUAAUCUUUUUUAAAAGUACAUAUCGACAAAAAGGAUUAUGACCUCGAUGUUGGGUUAAGAUAAUUAUAUAGUGCAGACACUAUAUUAAUAAGUCUGUUCGACUUUUAAAGUCUUACA
rnacentral:rRNA from 1 species